CUAUUUGAAAGGGUUAACGGAUGUUGAUCGGAACGAAACUCGCUGGGUACGUUCGACUCAUGAACCUUAAGGUCUGUAAGAAUUUUGAAAGAAAUCAGCCACUAGUUGGCGCUAACGAGUUUUAUGGCUCUGUAAUCACGUGGUGUUUCACAUAUCAACACAAUAUGCAUAUCAUUUGAUAGAUCUCCUCAUGAUGCACAACUUUGCCUCAAGAACCAUUGCUGUCAAUCAAAUCGUUCAAUUGUUAUUCACAAAUAUGUUAAAAACCUACUUUUGCGAACUAGUCCUAGGUUUUUUGUCCGAUCGGAACCAAACCACUGCAGUAAUAUUCUGUGGACUCUCUAGAUCAAUAAUUAUUAAAAAAAUGUUGAAUUUUGUCCUUUGGUUAGCUGUAACGGGGUAAUUUAUAAAAUGGGUGUGGCCAAACAUACCCCAAAGCCUAUAAAACCUAAAGGAAAACUCAAAACUUUAUGAAACUCAGUGAAAUCAUGUAACAGGUGACUCUUAACAAGCAUGCAAAGUUUCAUGGAGAUCAGACCAUAGGUGGCGCUAUAACAGUAGAAAAGGUCUCAAAACACAAGAUUUCUAUGGUAAAUGGCCUCAAAUUGUUUGAAAAUGCUCAUAUAUUCACUCAAAAACACCAAAUCUUCAUAUCAUAUGAUAUAUCUCCUCAUUCUGAACAACUUUGCCUCUGGGACCAAUGUUGUCAAUAAAGCUGUUAAUUAAAUAUUCAAGAUUAUUUAAAAAAGUUACUUUGGCAUACUUGUGAUACAGUUUAAGAUGAAAAUCAAUAAAACCACUGAAGUACAAUUCUCUAGACUCUGAAGGUCAAUAAUUAUCAAAAACAUGUUGAACAAUUGCAUUUGGGCAACUAUAAACCAGUCAUUUUAUAAUAUGUUCUUUUCAUAGUGCACACAAAGGCUUAUUAAUACAAUCAGAAAGCCCACAAAUUAUCAAAACUGUGUAAAAUAAUGCAUAAUUUCAUUCUAAACAAGCAUGCAAAAUUUAAGAGAGAUUGGGCAAAAAAAAAAAAACACUAUAACAGUUAUGUUUAAAAACAGUGUUGUUGGAGUAAAUGCAAUUUAUAACCACUAGAUGGCAGCGGAAGACCACUAAUGGGCUCAUUCAGUAAAGUUGAACAGUACUGUUGAAAGGAUUCAUGAAUUCAUGCCAAAACAUUAAAAAAUGAACUGUUAUAACAUUUUAAAUCUCAUUGAGUCAAUGUUUUCCAUUUUGUUCAUACAGAUAUAUCAGUUUUUAAAAUUUUGCCACAUUAUGAUUACAGUUUAACCUGAAAAUGACAUCUAAACUCUUAAAAAGAAAAGACUUGCAAUAAGUUUAUUAUCACCUAUCACUUAUUUCAAAUACCUAUAUCUGCAACAAAAUGUUUGUGCAUGUAUAUGUGUGUCUUUUUUUUUGUGUGUGUGUGUGUGUGUGUGUGUGAGCAUAUGCUUAUAGAGUAUACAUAUAUUAGUCUAAUCAUUUACUUUCAGUGUGUGUGUCUGUCUGUUAGCCUGUUCUCCAUUUUGGAUGUGUUUAACUGUCAUCCAUGCAUCCAGGUUGGCUCAGACCACCUCAGAGGCCUUAAUGUGCUUGAACCCCGGUAAAUGCUGCUUGCAGCUUUAAUUAUUAUUAUUAUUCUUCCGCCUUAAAACUGAACGUGCAGCCCAAACCGUAAGGCCUAGAGAGCUGAAACUUGGUCAGAUGGUAGUAGUCUUGCUCGCUACUCAGAUACAAAGAACCGGCCCAAUCGGCCUAACGGGGGCGCUACAGCGCAAAAAACAAAAAUUUUGGACAAUUUUGGCCGUAAAGUGUAAACCGUUAGCCAUAGACUCAAAAACAUGGCAUUGUUGCAAUCCUUGGGUUAGUCCGAACAAAAGUGCACGGCGCCUUUUUGGGGUCUACGACGCACCGUUUUCUCGCAAAAUCGAGCUAAAUCCGAAACCUACUUUUGCGAACUAGUCCUAGGAUUUUCAACCAAUCAGAACCAAACCACUUCAUAAAUAUUCCCUGGACACUCAAUAUCAAUAAUUAUCAAAAAAAAGUUGAAAUUUCAAUUCUUACGCGAAACAGUACACCAAAAAGCGUCUAUGCUAACGUUAGCCAAAUGCUAUUUUAACUAUAACUCUUGAACGGAAUGAGAUAUCUUCACCAAACUCGGUAUACAUAUGUAUAAGCUCAAUCUUUGGUCAAAUCAAAAAUAUUGCGCAUCUCUGCCACUUGGGGGCGCUAUAAGAUAGAAAAAACACAUAAAUGGCUAUAACUAGGCAACUGUUGCCUCGA